UACGUAGGGUGCAAGCGUUGUCCGGAAUCAUUGGGCGUAAAGAGCUCGUAGGCGGCUCAGUAAGUCGGGUGUGAAACCCUCAGGCUCAACCUGGGGACGCCACCCGAUACUGCUGUGGCUAGAGUCCAGUAGGGGAGUGUGGAAUUCCCGGUGUAGCGGUGAAAUGCGCAGAUAUCGGGAGGAACACCAGCGGCGAGGGCGGCACUCUGGGCUGGUACUGACGCUGAGGAGCGAAAGCGUGGGUAGCAAACAGG
rnacentral:rRNA from 1 species